CCUAUGUCUGGAACAUAGAGCCGUCUGUCUACUCAUUAAAUUAUAGGUAAGUUUUUAACUAUUCCUAUACACUUACUAUAAAUGGAGAACACUAUUGUUUUUUCCUUUAUUUCAUAUGGUGCACCUUACUACUAUCCUAUUGUGGAAAAGUAUCAGAGUGAAAUCCUACAAGUGGAGGAUCUAAACCAUUGUAUGCUGAUUAAUCCGGAGCUGGUUUAAGGCUCCACUGUAUGUGAGAUGUAGAUAGUUGGAUCAGGGAGCAGCGCCUAUGGAGUAAUUCCCACGUUCAGAGCGAUAUGGAGAAGGGAAGGAAAAAGACACGGAUAUAGUGUAGUAUGUUGAGAUCUUAAGUGAUGGUCAAGGCCGUCUUUAGCGCGGGGCAAACGGGGCAGCUGCCCCGGGCCCAGUUGCUCCUGGGGGGGCCCCAGAGCAGCCCCGCCAACUAAGGAGGCCCCCGGGUGGCCCAUGCACUAAGGGCCAUCCUGUGGGCAUGUGGCAGAAGGGGCCCGGUUGGGCGCUGUGACGCUUAAACAGCGCGACCGGGCCCCUUCCUGUGCCGGCUAGGAGGAAGUGAGUACCGCGUGUCACUUCCUCCCAACGGAGAUAGCGGCGCGGGAGGAGGAAGGCAGGGAGGAGGGGAGUUCCAGAGAAGAACUCCCAUCUGCCUCAGCCUGCCACUGGACCCCAGGGAAACCACCCUCCAUAAAAAGGUAAGAACCUGGAGGGUGGCUAAAUGUAUGUCAGUAUGUGUGUGUGUUAGUAUGUCUGUGUUUGUGUGUUAGUAUGUCUGUGUGUGUUAGUAUGUCUGUGUUUGUGUGUUAGUAUGUCUGUGUGUGUGUGUUUGUUAGUAUGUCUGUGUGUGUGUGUUAGUAUGCCUGUGUGUGUUAGUAUGCUUGUGUGUGUUAGUAUGCCUGUGUGUGUUAGUAUGUCUGUGUUUGUGUGUUAGUAUGUCUGUGUGUGUGUGUUUGUUAGUAUGUCUGUGUGUGUGUGUUAGUAUGCCUGUGUGUGUUAGUAUGUCUGAGUGUGUGUGUUAGUAUGUCUGUAUGUGUGUGUGUUAGUAUGUGUGUGUGUGUGUGUGUUAGUAUGUCUGUGUGUGUGUUUUAGUAUGUGUGUGUGUUAGUAUGUCUGUGUCUGUGUGUGUGUGUUAGUGUGUUAGUAUGUGUUUGUGUGUUAGUAUGUGUGUGUGUUAGUAUGUCUGUGUCAGUAUCUGUUUGUGUAUGUAUGUCAGUAUGUCUGUGUGUGUCUAUGACAGACAUACUGACAUACACACACAUACACACUGACAUACACACACACACACAGACAUACUGACACAUACACACACACAGACAUACACACACACACAUACUGACAUACACACACACACACACACACAGACAUAUACACACACAGACAUACUGACAUACACACACAGACAUGCUGACAUACACAGACAUACUGACAUACACACACAGACAUACUAACUCACCACACAGACAUACUAACACACACAGACAUACUGUGUGUAUGUCUGUGUGUUUGUAUGUCAGUAUGUCUGUGUGUGUAUGUCAGUAUGUCUCACUGUGUUCCAGUGUGUGUGUGUGUAUAUCAGUAUGUCUGUGUAUGUCAAUACACCUGUCAGUGUAUGUGUCUCUGUGUGUCUGUGUCAAUAUAUCUGUUAGUGUAUGUGUCUGUGAGUAUGUAUGUGUCUGUGUGUGUAUCAGUAUGUCUGAAUGUGUGUCAAUGUUUGCCAGUAUAUAUUUUUGUGUCAGUGUAUGUGUGUGUCAGUAUGUAUCUGCGAAUGUUUUAAUGUGUCUGUCUGUGUGUGUAUGUGUCAGUAUGUCUGUCAGUGUGAUUGCGGGUUGGGUGUAAUGGGGAGGAAGGGUGCAGUGACAGGGCCCAGGGGGCCCAAGAAAAGGCUUUGCCCGAGGUCCUAUUCAUAUUAUAGACGGCCCUGGUGAUGGUAAAUGAAGGGAAAGGAAUUGCACUUAGAAUUUUCUGGAGCCUAUAUUCAGCUCCAGAUAUGUGUGCCUGGACGGUACAAUCCCCACCUAAGCAUAUGUAGAUGGGCCUUGGAUGUCCUCAAAAGGGGGUCUCCAGUGGUAGUAGAGUAUAUAUCCUUUCCAAUGACAGUAGGCCACAUACUACAAUUGUAAGUACUGAUAUUCCACCUACCCCUUUACUCCACUGUAUGUGAGUUGCCAAUUGUGCACUUGCAUGUUGUGUGUAUCUCACUCUAACUGGCAUUUUGCACUAUUGGUUUUUGCUGUUCUCCUGUUUGCCUGUAAAUAUGUGUGUGUGUGUGUGUGUAACUGUCUGCCUGUAACUGUGUGCACGUGUGUGUAACUGUCUGCCUGUAACUGUGUGUGUGUGCGUAACUGUCUACCUGUAACUGUGUGUGUGUGUGUGUAACGGUCUGCCUGUAACUGUGUGUGUGUGCGUAACUGUCUACCUGUAAGUGUGUGUGAUUGCAUGCCUGUAACUGUGUGUGUGUGACUGCCUGUGACUGUGUGUGACAGUCUGCCUGUGACUGUGUGAUGCUGCCUGUUACUGUCUGCCUGUGACUGUGUGUGUGUGUGUGUGACACUGUCUGCAUGUAACUUUGUGUGUGACUGCCUGUAACUGACUGUGUGUGUAACUGCCUGUAACUGUGGGUGUGUGUCUGUAACUAUGUGUAUGACUGUCUGCCUGUGGCCGUGUGUGUGACUGUAUAUGUGACUGUCUGCCUGUAACAGUGCGCGUGACUGUGUGUAACUGCUUGUAACUGACUGUGUGUGUGUGUAACUCUCUACCUGUAACUGUGUGUAUGACUGCCUGCGACUAUAUGUGUGACUGUCUGCAUAUGACUGUGUGCGUGUGACUGUCUGCUUGUAACUGUGUGUGACUGUCUGCCUGUAACUGUAUGUGAGGGGGUGCAGGGAUUUUGUAGAAGGGGGCAGGGGUUUUAAAAAGUUUACAAAUUUGUUCAAUACAUUUUUUAAAAAAAUGUAAAAAAUAUAACACAUUUUUAAAAUUUAGUAGGUUUUUUUUUUUGGAGAGGUGAGCGGGGGUGCCAAACCCAGGACCCGCCCCGGGUGCCACAUGCCCAAAGUAUGCCUCUGUAGACUGGUAACGCUAUUUUCUCCCCAGAAAUAAUCCAGAAUAACCUGAGAUGAAUUUUUUUUUUAUAUUAAUAUUUAUGCAUGUGAUUAUUAGAUUGUUUUCAUAAUGCAUUAAAAAUGAGGAUGGACACCUAACUGAAUGAGGUCCAUUAUAGGUGCUUGAUUUUGUAAACUCUGCUGCCAAUCUGGACAUACAAUUUUGUAAGGCCUACUAUCUUUAAAAACAUAAGAAAUAGAGAAUUUGCCUGUUAUUUCCCCAUGGAUGUCUUCUUCACACUCAGUGGCCUGCAGCUUGAUGUAUACCUACUUCCCAAGGCAAAGGCAUUCCUCCUUGUUAGGUUACAUUGUUUUCAUAUUGGCACUUGAUAAAAUAGUUUCACACAAUCCAGAGGGGCAUGAAAUGGCAGAGGGGCCUUUUAAAGUGCAAUAGGCAUUUGUACACUUUGCUUGACCAGUGGAGAACCUUGAAUGGCUCCAGAUAAAAUAAAGAAGGCAAAAAAGGUGGACUCCCAGCCUGUCAGUGUAGCCCUUCUCAAGGAUAUAUAAGAUUAAGAACUAGACAAAGUGGAGUUUGUCAUCAUUGAUGACUUGAUGGAAGCAUGCAAUUUAGACCAACAUUCUCCAAACUCAGGUACAGUGCCUGAAAAACUAAUCAAUCUUGACCAGUAAAGAAUGAAUAGUCCCAUAAAUAGGAUUUUACCAUGAACAGAUCUGCCAAAGCAUCUGCAAGAUUUUGUUCAGGCAUAUUUUCUCAAAAUGAUUUCUUCUUGAUAUCUACACCUUUAACCCCUUCACAGCCUAAGGACAAUAAACACCACAGGUUAUUAUAGUAUUUAUGUACAAGAGCUGAAGUUGCUUGCCGAAAGAGACUAACUAACAUUUAAAAACAGUUUGACAAGCCCCUGAUGGACUGCACUCAAAAAGUUCUUGCACCAGAAUCACUUCAAGUCUGUGGUGUUCUUGGUACUUAGCAUCCAGUUAAAUGACCAGUGGAGGCUCAUCUAUAGGGAUAUUUAAGGCAGCACCCAUCAGUUGUUAUUUUGGGGGAGGACGGGGAUGGGGGAAUAAUUUCUAGUUGUUUAGAAAACCAAAGAUUCUCUUUUUGGAGGGAAGGGUAAUAAGCCAAAAAUAUAGGAAAUAAAGUAGUGUCUCUUUAAUUCUGUAAUAGGUUUCAGUUCUGUGGGGCCCCUUCCUCCCUCAUUGGUAACUCUGGAGAAGCCUACUUGAGAUCAUCUAUACAUGCCAAAAAAUGGGGUGGGUGGAAACCCGGCCUGUUUUAGCAGGUUUUGCACAUGACUAGUGUUCUUUAAGAAGAAAUUUCCAGAAUUUCCAUUGGGUUGCCCAAAUUGGCAGAGCCAGCUGCCUAUUAGUGGAGGCAUGGUAUGGCCUCUCUAUUAAGGUGCUAUCAUUGCUAUCAUUGGAUCAUAGCACUAGGUUUGGGGUUACAGUGCCCAUGUGAGAGAGAAACAAGAAGCCAUCUUGGGAGCAGCACAGGAGAGCGAAGCAGCAGCACCUCCCAGCCCCUGCCAAAUGUAAGUUAAUAAUAUUAUCUUCUUCUCUAGUGACUGCCAUAGGACUGGUUGUGUGGUAGAAGCUACAGGAGGUUUAAGUAAAGUUCAGUACUCACAUGGUUAAAACUACUGUGCAACUAUCUUGGACCAGGGCGCAUGUGCGGAAUGUCAGGAACACCCACUAUUAGAUAACAUGUGUAAGAGAUAAGUUUUAGUUUAAUAAUUGGAUGUAACCAUAGUAAUGUAGGUGUAAUUUCUGUAUUCUCUGUAUAUGUAUGGAAUACGUCAUUUGUGGUAUAUAUUCUUUGUUCUCUUGCAAACGUGUGCUCAGUCGGGUAUUCCAAGACUAUUGUCUGACUGAGACCUUUGCAGCUGCAAAAACAAUAAAUAGCCUUUGUUCUUCAACGACCUGUGUCGGGAGUGUUUGGAGUGUCCUUGUUUCAUACUUAACCAGAGUUGAUACAACAGUUGUAGUAGGGUUAUCACUGUCUUAUACUCAGCUCUAAGUAUUUCAUAGAUAUCUUUAUAUUGUGCCCAUCUUGUUUUAUGUGGGGACAUCUCUGUAUUAUGCUCAGCUCUCUAAAUUGAAUGAGUAUCUCUGUAUUGUAUAGAGAGGAGUAAAGUUCUGGGGAAGGAGUCUGUCGCCCCCCCAUCUUAAAACUUCACCAGUCACCACUGUAAAUGUCACACUGAUACACUAUACUUAUACUAAACAUCUAAUUGCAUCUGUUUUACUCUCUACUUUUCUGAAAAUACCACCAGGACUUUCUCUCCUUAGAUGAUAAGGUUAGUGCACAUGGCAGUGGUUAGAAGUCACUUUAUUUCAUUAACCUUUAACCUCACAAAAAGCUACAUCUACCAAUAUUGCUGCUUUGAGGGAUAAACUGCUCUUCUUGGAACCGCACUAAAGUAAUCUCCUUCUGCAUUACUGGCAGAGUGAAUUAAGUCUGUCAAAUCCUCAUUGAAUUAUCUGUAUACUAUACGCACUGUUUUUCUUUUAUCUAGACUUAAGCAGAUAUUUUGUACUGUGAGUAACUAAGCUAAUUCUAUGUUAACCAAUAAGAUAUGUUAAAUUAAUUAGCAGCCUCUAGAGUAAGUAAUUUAAUGUUCAAACAUAGCAACAACAUAAUUAAUCUCAAGAAAUUUUUUGUUUUCUUUGUUGAGUAAAUACAAUUUAUUCCACAGUCUGGCUGAUGACACCUAAACCAAUACCUAGGAUUACACCUGUCUUAAUGUCCACUUUAAAUGUUUCCUCUAUUGGCACUACAUAAGAGGUUUACCUUAUGGUAUAAAACGUGUGCUUUAUUCCAAAAGGAAAACAGGAAAGGAUGUUGUUAUAGGUUAAUGAUCAAGAGAAGGAUAUUUUCAGCAAGAAUAAUAAGCUUCCAUCGGUGGAUCAUAAGGGUGUGUAAUAUAGCUUCUUCAUUGUGGUCUACAUAAGGCAUUCUCAAAAAGGUUAACCCAUUAUAGAAAUUAGUUAACAGAUUCAAGUAUUUUGUUUCACAUGUGGUAUUUAGUAUCAGUGAAAUCAUUCAAUAUAACCCAUACCUGGGACUCUUUGUUGUCAACAGACUGCAAUCCUAGAAAAUAUGGGGUGAUCAUGCCUGUGACGAGACCAAUCUCGCCACUAUGCACACUUUAUUUUCCUAUGCAGAAAGAUCUAUUUCUGUAUUUCUGCCCUGGCAUUCGGUAGAUUCUCGGAUUUACUGAAUUAACUAAUUUAACCCAGAUAGCUAUGCCAUGGAGCCUAUUCGUGUAAUAAAAGACUUUGGCUCCAUGGCAAUUGAACUGUAUGUGUGUGGUCUGAGCGCCAUUCAGUAAUUAUGUGCGCUCAGACCUAAGCUGUCUGGGGAUAUGUUGCAUGUCUGUAUUUUAUGUAAUAGAUGUAACCUUGUGUAUUUUAUUGAAUUUUACUGUCUUUUUACUGCCAUGUGCUUAAUGGAGUUUUGCCUCUGUCCUUGGAGAUAAUUUGAUUACUUCCCAAUUAUCUCCAGGAUAGAAGACUCUGCGGAACUGGUUUUGUGCAGAAAAGCCAUGCUUCCUUUGGUCACAAAGGACUACGAUCUAUCUUUUGAACCACUGGACCAAUUUGGAUGAUUUUGACAUACGUUUGUAUUUGGAGUAUGCUGAUUCUGAAAAUGUAUGUUUUAUGUGAAUGUGAUGCAUACUUUUAAAGUUAUGAAUAAUGUGGAAAAAAUUUAUUUCUCUGCUGGUGAUAAUUAUAUUAGCCAUUGUGUAAGGUAAUUGUAUCACAGGCAGAGGGGAGGAUUUUGUGUGGGAGUGUCUGAGUGUACUGUAUGUGUUUAUUGGUUGUUUUCCAAAACCCUGUGGGUGGUACUAAUGUGUAUAUAAGAACAAUAAACCCACAGCUCUGUCUGUUCCUGCUUGACCCUCAAAACGGAGCCUUGUCUCGUUCUUGGGGGGAUUUAUUGUAUGCUGUUCCAGUUCGACUGCUAGGAGUGUAAACCUAUUCGUAUGGUUUUUCCUAUUCGGCUGUUUACAGCAUUCAUAUGGUUUCUGCAGUAGCUGUGCCUGUGUCUCUGGAAGGGAAGAUCUACUAAACGGCGGUUUAACCCUUUUAUGCCUGGGGGUGCCGUUACAAUGCCCAAUUAUCAUUGAAUUCUAUAUGGAUGUCUACUUGUCAAUCAGCAUACAAACUAUUUUGAGAUUUCUACAAUCUGUGAAAAUUACUUUACUGUUUCCUCUUAAUGUAUUCCAAUAGGUUAAAAGCGUGGCCUAGAUGCUGAUUUGUUAGUCAUCCAGAAAAAGGAAGUGUGCAUCCCUUCUCACCAUUUCCAAUGUCCACCUGAUUGUGGUCAAUAACCUCUCAUUGGAAUAAGCAGCUCAUAUUUUGUUGGAUAAUGUCACUAUUUGUCCCCAUGGAUACACUAUAUAAGAUUACACGGUUGGGAUGUAAAUAAUUGUAACAUUAUAAGUCAUCUUACUUAUCCAUCUGUUUUGUUGUGUAUUAUAACUGUAAUAAAGUUUGUAUUUUUCUGUAUACUUUAACGUGAUGUAUUGAGGUACAAAAGAGGUUCUACACCAAUGUAGACUGUCCCUUGGUUACAUUUGUUACCUCGCUUCCUUUUUCUUUAUGACACUCAAAAUAAAAAAAGGGGGGAAAUAAUAUAGUAUAGCAAGUUUAACAAAAUGUCAAGAAAUGAUAAAAAAAAAAAAAUCACUCACAAAAGUGAAGCACAUAGGAAUUAGAGAUGUCGCGAACCGUUCGCGAACUUCCCGCGAACGGCUCGCCGUGGUUCGCCACGAACCGUUCACGGCGAGCUCCGGUCAGCUGACACAUCCCGGCCAAUCUCCAGCAGACCCUCCCUCCCAGACCCUCCCACCUCCUGGAAGUUCGCGAACGGUUCGCAACAUUUCUAAUAGGAAUGUGUGACUAUUGUGGUGGCCACAGUGGCAUCAAAUACCUAAUGCCUUGCUCAAAGGAACAAUUGGUGUCAGGUCCUUUGGGGCAGUCUAUUAUGGGAUGUAGAUAUACUACCAGAAGGCAAUCUACAACACAAAAAUAAUAGAAACGGACAUAGAAUAGUAACGUAGUAAAUUGGGAAUUUAUAGGAAUAGAUAAUUGCACUCACAGACCCAAUUUGAUUGCAGGCAUAUAAUGAAUAACGAUGUGUAUACUUCUCGAUUUGUGGAACGUCAAUCCCAUGCAUAGGAGGAAGAAUAAUAAAAAAGUAAUAGUGCAGAGUAUCUUAAAUAAAAUUAACAAAAUUUAUUACAAGAUACACUUACAAAAAAGAUGUAUCAAAAAGGCACAUCAAACUCAGCUGAAGCUGCAACCCAGUCCCAGGAUCAGAAGAGCAGAGAAACCAAAUAAAAUAAAAUACACUUAAAAAACUAUAAAAAACAAAUACUCAGCAUAUAAGAAACAAGCCCUACGCGUUUCGUUCAUAAAAUGAACUUCAUCAGGGGAUUCCAAUCCUCUGUAAACAAGAAUACAUAAAACACUCGUCUUUUAUAAAUACAAUCAAAUUUGCCGCGAAGAAAAUCAGCUGUGCGUGUUACUUCCGGGUUCCGGCUUCGGCAUAUUUCCGGAUACGCCCCUAUUGCGUUCCGGAGCUUCUGUCCAAGCCUCACUCUGAAACUCAUCUGGUUGAACGGAAGUCAAGACGAAUAUGCGUUCCAUUUUGCGUUCCAUUCUCGGGGUUAGACACAUACAUCCCCAAAGCACAUCGUUAUAUAAAGAAAACAAAAUAUAAACAUAUAUGUGAUCAUAUAUACAAAUAUAUAAAAAAGGGAGAAGUAUCACCUAGUUUGAAAGAGGGGAAUGAUACAAACUUAUAAUAGUAAAAAAUACAAAUUAAUACAAAUUAACAUAUAAGACCAAAACAAAAUAAGAUGAAAAAAAAUAUAAAAGAAAAGAAAAAGAAAAAGAAAAAUUAAAAAAUAAUAAAAAUAAGAGCAAAAAUAAUCAAGUAAAAAUAAUAAUAAUAAUAAAAUACGAUGUGCUUUGGGGAUGUAUGUGUCUAACCCCGAGAAUGGAACGCAAAAUGGAACGCAUAUUCGUCUUGACUUCCGUUCAACCAGAUGAGUUUCAGAGUGAGGCUUGGACAGAAGCUCCGGAACGCAAUAGGGUCGUAUCCGGAAAUAUGCCGAAGCCGGAACCCGGAAGUAACACGCACAGCUGAUUUUCUUCGCGGCAAAUUUGAUUGUAUUUAUAAAAGACGAGUGUUUUAUGUAUUCUUGUUUACAGAGGAUUGGAUGCCCUUGAUGAAGUUAAUUUUAUGAACGAAACGCGUAGGGCUUGUUUCUUAUAUGCUGAGUAUUUGUUUUUUUAUAGUUUUUUAAGUGUAUUUUAUUUUAUUUGGUUUCUCUGCUCUUCUGAUCCUGGGACUGGGUUGCAGCUUCAGCUGAGUUUGAUGUGCCUUUUUGAUACAUCUUUUUUGUAAGUGUAUCUUGUAAUAAAUUUUGUUAAUUUUACUUAAGAUACUCUGCACUAUUACUUUUUUAUUAUUCUUCCUCCUAUGCAUGGGAUUGACGUUCCACAAAUCGAGAAGUAUACACAUCGUUAUUCAUGAUAUGCCUGCAAUCAAAUUGGGUCUGUGAGUGCAAUUAUCUAUUCCUAUAAAUUCCCAAUUUACUACGUUACUAUUCUAUGUCCGUUUCUAUUAUUUUUGUGUUGUAGAUUGCCUUCUGGUAGUAUAUCAAUAUUGUUUUAAGGACAUAAGAGGAGUCCUUUCAUCUACUUCACUUUUGACUAAGGGUAAUUUUUAUAUGUUUGUAUUUAUUACCCACUAAGUGUGUCGUCUACCUGCACACAGGUGUUUUGUAUCUAUAUUAUAUAUUGUAUAUUAUGGGAUGUAGGCUGUAAUAAAUUUGAAAAAAAAUUCUACAAGCUUGAUACUGAACAUUGUCAGACUUCCAUUAAGAGUAUGUUUAAGUCCCACACCAUUAUUAAUGUAUUAAAGAGUUUCUCCAAGCACUAUGACUAUUUCAGUGAUUUGAAGUGGUCAUAGUGCUUGGAGUGUUCAUGAGCAGCAUUUCACAAGAAAUGCUAAACUUAUAGCGAUACAGAACUUUGCAGCCUCAGGUGUAAUUACUCCUCCCGGAGUGUCAUUAGCAGAGAGUUUUGGGCUGCUAAUGUCAGUUCUAUGCAUGUCAGCCCACCUAGCAUACUGUAGAUUGGUGACCAAAGGUGGGACUGUACCUCCUCCAUGUUGGCCUUUGUCUUCCCUCAGUCCUACUCCAUAACAUGAUCCCCUAUAACAAAGGGGUGUAAUGUGACCAAAGGACAAUAAGGCUGCUAUGAGAACUAAAUAAAGAAUCCUUUAAUUCUGUCUCUUUUUUUUUUUGAGCCAGGAAGGAUUACUCCAUCCAAAAGAAAUCUGAUUUUGAUGGCCAUAACCCUUCAACACAUUAAACUCCAUUUUUAACAAUUUAUUUUUUCCAUAAAAUUUUGUAACAUGAGAUGUCAUGACAUUAAAACGCAGGAUUCAUAGCUAACUCUUUAAAUCACAGUAUUUAAAAUUUUAUUUUUUUGCUGAUUGCUCAAUAGAGAGACCGAAAAAAGCAAAUUAUACACAUUUACAAAAAUAUAAUGUUUCCAUUUAUUGUAUUCAACCUUUGAAGACCUAUAGGAAUUAUACAAGAACAAGUUUCUAUCAGGGUUAUUUAUUCAAAUUCAAGCUGUAGUGAACUGAAAAUCUGUAUUGCAAAAUUAAGACUAAUAUAAAAUCAAGCUGUGACUAUAGCUGAAUUGGAAAUUUUCUCCAAAUGAGCUACCAUUGCCUACAUUUUACUAUUCAGGGUUCAGUUUGUGACAAUUUAGAGCUUAAUUACUAAUCCUAGAAGAACAAACCCGAAUUUUUUUGGUACAGUCAGGGUUAUUUCUUAAAGGGACGCUGUAGUCAAGAGCAGGGGCAUACCUGGAGCAUUUGCAUUUGCAUUUCAUUUUUAAAAAUUGCACAAAUAUGUAAAAUAAAAAAAAUCUGUCCGGCCCCCUACUAUAAAACCCCUCUCCUGCCUGCAGUUUUACAAAACGCAUGUCCUGCCCCCGUUCUACAAAACUCCUGCACACCCCUUUCCACAAAUCCGCUGCUCAGCCCCCUUUAAACAAAAUCCCUGUCCCCCCAUUACAAACCCCUGCACACCCCUUCCAUAAAACUCCUGCACCCACCCUUCCCAAAAAAACAUGCCUCUCCUUCUAAAGUCACUUCUCAGCCUCUUACAAAAUAUUUUUUUCUUUACACAACAAUAUUAGCAACAGUCUUCAGAGUCCAGUCCCAGGCACAUAGUCACUCGAACACAGUCACACACAUGGUUACAGGCAGACAGUCACACAAACAGAUAUAGACAGACACACAUCCAACUACAGACAGACAGACAGACACACACACACAGACACACACACACUCUCUCUCUUCGCCAAUCACAGACAGAUAGUCACACACACACAGUCACAUGCAGACAAUCACACACACACAGUCACAGGCAGACAUUUACACACACACAGUCACAGGCAGAUAGUCACACACACUCAGUUACAGGCUGCAUUCCUAAAUCACAGGCAGACAGUCACGGGCAGACAAUCACACACAGACACAGUCACACACAGUUACAGGCAGGUAGUCACACACCUACACACCCACCCCCACACACUGUCACAGGCAAACAGUCUCACAAACACACACACAGUCACAGGCAGUCACACAGACACACACUGAGUCACAGGCAGACAGUCAACACAUACACAUUCUCUCUUACUUACUGACCGUAUGGGCUGGAGUCUGAUUUGUUUGGGAAGCAGGGACUCCAUUCUGCUUCCCCUCGAUGUGCAGCAGUGAUAGUAGCGGGUGGAGGCUGUGUUUAGCUCCACCCUGCUGGUUUUGCUUCACCCCACUGCCAAUUUGCUUCAUCCCCGCUUUUCUUAGAUGUGUCCGGUUUUGAAAUUCUGUGGCUGUCUGCGAGAAUGAGCUGUACAGCUGUCAUGGCGCCCUGUGCAGCCGCACAGCUCACACAUCCUAAGGCUGCCCUGGUCAUGGCACCCCCUUGCUUAGUACACCACCGGUAGCCAGAACAAGCUUCACAGCUUAAUGUAAUGGUUCUGGUGUCUAUAUCAUGUCCCUGCAGGUUUUUUGAUGAAAACAUUGCCUUUUGAGAGAAAAUACAGUAUUUACCUUGCUGCCUAGUAACACUUCUUGGUGCAGCCAGUCAGAUGACCACUAGAGGUGCUUCCUGUGUCAGCGCUCUGUAAUGAGACAUUGAAAGCUCCCCAUAAAGAUGCAUUGAUUCCAUGCAUACAGGGCUGGUGCAAGGAUUUUUGACUGCACAGGCAAAAACGGAUUUUGCCCCCCUUCCCACACACACUGGUUCUCUCGGUACUGAUAGGCAUGCAACUCCCUGCUGCUGGAGACUCCUACAAGAAGCUAUGGUUAGUGUCACUGACCUACACCCAGUUGCGCAUCAGCUUGCCUGCCAUGCUCAUUGGCUAACAGCACUCAGUUUAAGCUCUUAACCAGCUCUUAACCAAUGACCGAGAUCCUACGUGGCUGGGCUUAGCUCAAUUCCACGAGUUUCUGGUGGCAAGCUCCUGAAAAUUCACCCACUCCCUAAGUAAUAUUAGUCCUCAUAUAGGUCUGCCAUUUACCCCAUUUACCCCAACCCUCCCAAAUUAGAAUCCCUUAUGUACCCUUUUCUCCUCAAUUCACAUCAUGACAUAGCUUCCAAUUAACAUCUUUCAGGUUCUCUGUGUGCACCCUUUUAAAAUGGUUUUCAGCUACUUCUGCUCUUCACACUUACAAAGUGAGUCACACAACACUCACAGAUAGGGGCACACAGUCAUACACACACUGCCCUCAGUCACAUAUGGUCAUAAAUUCAUAUACAUAACAAUUAUAUUCUUGCGGUUAAAUAAAAUCACAUAAAAUCAGAAAUAUUCUCAUACACAUAUAAACAGUGACUUACACACUCACAGAUAUACACCUAUAGACAUACUCAUAGAUGCACAAAAUCACACAAACACAUUCAGAUACAGACUAACAAUUAGUCAGUCACACAUUUAUACUCACAGAGACAACACACUCACAUUCACACACCCCAGAUACCCAGUCACAGACCCAGAUACCCACUCACAAUCACAGACUCAGAUACCCAGUCACAGUCACAGACCCAGGUAUCCACUCACAGACAUGGGCGUCCACAGAAAUUUUUUUUUGGGGGGGGGAGAAGGGCAUAAUUGUAAUGACAUCCAUGCUUGGUCCCUUUUUGACAGUGUCAUGAAAGGGAAGGGGCAUAGUCAUUAUCACAGCCAGGGUGAAUAGCGGUUUCACAACUGUGGUGUCAGGAAUUCAUGUUUGUAUUCCUGACACUAUAGUGUUCCUUUAAGCAAAUUGAAGGAACAUUCUGGUCACCAUAACAACUUCAUCUAAAUGAAAAUGCUAUGAUGCCAGGAAGCCCAUGGGUGCUCAUUCCUUUAAGGGGUUAAACCACUUUCAAAUGGUUUAACCCCAAAGGCUUCCUCCAGCUCCAGAUCUCCAGGUCACUCAGUGUUAUUCGGCUUCUGAAACAGAGUGUCAGGAAGUGCAGAUUGACAUCAGGCAUGGGUGCUGCAGAUUGGCUAGAGUGGUCAGCUGACACUCUAAGCCAAUCGCUAGUUCCCGGUUCAUAAAAAAGUUUUACUUUUUUAUGAAUGGGGAGCUACUGAUUGGCUAAGAGUGCAAGCUAACCGCUCUAGCCAAUCUGCGACACCCCUACCCAGCGGCACUCUGUGUUUCUGGAUACUCAGUAAAUAAAAGUGAACACAUUAACAUUGAUAUUUUUUUUUUUUAACCUGGGGAGAUGAGAAGGUCAAAUGUUUCCCUGCUCAUUUAUGUUCCUUCUCCAACUUUACCUUUGUGCUCCUUCUGUUCCUUGCUGCCCUUUCCAGCUCCUUGCUGACCCUUUCUGCUCCUUCCACUUUACCUUUGUGCUGCUUUAACUUCCAGCUCCUUGCUGCUUCUUGCUGACCCUUCCUGUUCCUUGCAGCCCCUUCCUGCUCAUUUCUGUUCCUUUGUGAGCCUUGAUGUCCCUCCCUCCUACUUUACCUUUUGUGCUCAUUGCUGUCCCUUCCAGCUCCUUGCUGCCACUUUCUGCUCCUUGAUGUCCCUCCCUGCUUAUUUCUGUUCCUUCUCCUUUCUGCUCCUUGCUCACCCUUUCCUGUAGGCUCUCUCUCCACCUCCCUGAUCUAUAGGCUAUCUCUCCCCCUCCCUCACUUCCCUGAUCUAUAGGCUAUCUCUCCCCCUCCCUCACUUCCCUGAUCUAUAGGCUAUCUCUCCCCCUCCCUCACUUCCCUGAUCUAUAGGCUCUCUCUCCCCUCCUUCCCUCACUAACCUGAUCUGUGGGCUGCCCCCCACCCCUCACUUACCUGAUCUGUAGGAUGUCUCUGGCUGCACAUGCUGUUCCUCUGUGGAUUCAGUCAGUAGAGAGAAGCAGGGAUAAGAUGUAGCUUCCUAUCCCUGUCUCUCUCCAUACACUCUCUCCGCCACCUACUGGCCGGCGCCGGUAUUGCACUGUAUUUUCAAUCUCACACGAAAAAUAGCAGAACAAGCUGAAAAAUCCAAAGGAGGGGGGCAAGUGCCCCCCCUUUCCCCUUCCUGCGGACGCCCAUGCUCAGAGACCCAGAUUCCCAGUCACAGACCCGGGUACCCACUCACAGUCACAGAACCAGAUACCCACUCACAGCACACUGUAAGAUCACUCUAAGCACACUGAUCUCUUGUGGCUGAGUGCCACUAUUUCCACUUCCUUUCUGCCCUAUAGCAUUCCUCACUGCAACAAGUAUUAUGUGUGUCGUUGCAGCUCCUAUCUAUAGGAGCUGGAGCCAGCCUUCAGAGUGGAAGCUUGUUUCCCACUCCCUCGUGGUCUGAUAACACGUGGUACCGUAUCAUGUAAUGAGAGGGCUGAUUGAGAGCAAGGGGGUGGAGCUUUGUAGAUAGCAGCCAAUUAAAAUACUACAGAGCUGUUACAAUGCCUAAGGGAGGUCCUGCAGCAUUCAGGAUUUGAUAGUGUCCCGUAGCAGCAUCACUGCUGUUCCAAACACCGAGUUACAUAGUGAGUUACAUAGGAACAUAGAAAUAUAGAAUGUGACGGCAGAUAAGAUCCAUUCGACCCAUCUAGUCUGCCCAAUUUUCUAAAUCCUUGCAUUAGUCCCUGGCCUUAUCUUAUAGCUAGGAUAGCCUUAUGCCUAUCCCAUGCAUGCUUAAACUCCUUCACUUUGUUAACCUCUACCAACCUCUUCAGCUGGAAGGCUAUUCCAUGCAUCCAAUACCCUCUCAGUAAAGUAAUACUUCCUGAUAUUAUUUGUAAACUUUUGCCCCUCUAAUUUUGUUGUGAGUUGUGAGGAAUGGCUGCUGUGUGCGCAGUUGUGCUAUCGGUGUUCGGUCCGAAAUAUUUAAAAAUCGAAGUCUCUGGCCAGAUGUCAGAGAUUUGGAUUUUGCGCACCCUUUUUGUGGUGCCCAAAGGCAUGCAUAUCUAUGAAGAGUUGUUGAUUGGCGCAGCUCUGCAUUUUGCUGCGCAUGCGCAAUAGCCUCCCAAUGCUGGGAGCAAGGCAGGACAGUUGUGGCAAUGGAGUAAAGUUAAGUAAAACAACCUUUUAUCUUCAAUCUGAGGGAGGAGUUCCUUGAAACUGUGAAUUGUUGGGAAUUGACUGGAUAAUUUCAGAUUUUCUAAGCCAGCCAAUUCUCAAAAAGUUCCACAGAACUAUUUACGAAAGUGAGAAUUGUAGAUUAUGCUAACGUAGUGUACCUAUAAUCUUAAUUUGAGCAAUGACAGGAGGCGAGUAUUUGCAUAACUUUCUUUACUAUAAAUCUCCAGCAGCACAGAUUAAUCAAGUAAGUUUAAACCAAUCAAAAAUAAGUAACAUCCCAUAUAUAAGAUAGGCCAGCCCUCAAUUCUUCCUCUUUCUUUGAUGUGAAUGGAGAUGGUCAAUUUAACAUGAACGAACAACUGAUGAACUUGAUAAACGUCCAGUUAAGUCCAGAAACCAAUUUCUUUGACAGACGAAAUUUGUCCACCUGGUAUUACAUGAUAUUUCAUACUGAAAAGACGAAGAAACAAGUGAAAGGAACUUGUAGUGAACAUGUAAUACAUAUACUGUGAACAAUACCCAUUAUAUUAAUAAAUUUGACUCUAGCUAUACAAAUAGGUAAAUAUCUAAGUAUAAAGACAGUACGCAAGUAAUUAUAAAUGUACUCAUAUACCUUCUGAUAAUACGUAUCAAGUAUAUAAAACAACCAGACCACGGAAAAUCGAGACAAAUAUGAGAGGGGGGAGAGGGGUAAGAAGUAAGGGAGGGAAAUACUUGCCUCCUGUCAUUACAAAAAUGAAGAUUAUAGGUACACUACGUUAGCAUAAUAUACAAUUUUACCGCAUGAUAGGAGGCUUCAUAUUUGCAUUUUUAAGGCUAAUCAAGAAGAGAAAAAGUAGCAUGAGAUGCAGGAAGAAAAUAGAAAACUUGAAACGUAUCUUCCAGAGACCAAUCCGCCGAUCGCAUGAUGUCGGAGAAAGAGGCACCCAACAUAAAAGCGUGUGUAGCCGCCACGCCCUGUACGGAAUGCGCUCCGAAAGAUGCCUCGAUGACUGCCAAUGAUAGUAUCCAACGUACCCAUCCUGCCUGAGUAGUCAUAGACACAGGUUUGUGUGGCAUAAGACACGAGAAGUUGACCUGAUUGAGAACCCCAUAUACGUUCAAUAAUUUCUACGUAGCGCAUCAACGUCCUGACCACACAAAAGUGUGGGGCCGUAGGAAAAAAUGGGCAAAAGACCGCCGCCGAAUUUAUCUUAAUACGUUUUGUGACCGAAAAUGAAGCCCCCUCCAGGGUAAAGGAUAAACUGUUUACAUCAAAUGCCCUAACGUCCGCUACCGAAUGAAAAGAUACCAAACAAAGUAACAGUGUGAGUUUCGCCGAGAGUUGGUGCAAGCACAAAGAUGUAUUGUCUGGCCAGUUCCACAAAAACUGCAUUACCACCUCACCAUCCAAGAGUCGGGAGUAUUUCGGUGUUGGUGGGCGUGAUAAGCGUAUACCUCUAAGUAGUUACCUGAUCAAUGGAUCUUGACCCAGUGGGAGACCCUAAACCAGAACGUGUGAAGCCGAGAUCAUGAACAUUGAUGGAUUGAUAUGAAUGUCCUAAGGAAAAGGAAUGUGAUCAAAAAUGUAAGAUCAUAGGAACAGGUGUUGUAAAGGGAUCAGAAUCCCUCUCCAAACACCAGCUAGACCAUUUGCUUCAGGCUGCGAGAUGACAGUGUCUGGUGCCAGGUGCCCACGAAUCCCAUAAUAGAUCCUGUUGACCAGGAUCCCCAUGAAUCUUCCAGGCUACUAGUUCCAGAUGUUCUUGUAGGACGAGGGGAUGAAGUUCCCCCCAUGGGUCAGUCAGCAGAAGUGGAAAGGACAGUAUGAGGAGUGGAUGGUCGCACUAUAGUUCCAGAAGAUCCGGGAACCAAUGUUGGCUUUGCCAUAGCGGUGUCAGUAAGAGUAAGGAGCAUCCUUGAGUCCGUACCUAGUGGAUCACCCAUGCCAGUUCUGUGUCGGCCAGUUCUGGAAAAAUGCGUCCACCGCUUCGCAUUCCGGGUCUGGUAGCCAAGUGAAGAACAUGUGAAGUUGUCGAUUGUUUCAAGAUGCAAAGAGGUCUAUAAUCAGUGGACCCCUGAGAUUGAAUAGAAUAUUGAAUAUCGUUGAGUUGAGAUGCCAGUCACUGCCAUCCCUCCAAUGCUGGUAGUACCAAUAUGCUGUGAGGUUUUAGGUUCCCAGUAGGUAUUCCUCUUACAGCGUGAUAUUGCGGGAGAGGCAGAAACUGAAGAUGUCUUUGGUUGCCUCUGCCAGAGCCUGGGAUCGAGCUCCUCCCAGGAGGACUUCCGAAAUGUUGUCUAUGCGUAGCAGUAUGCAGCAGUUGGACAUGUGACUGGCCAUAACGCAUAUGGCAAAAGAGCCUGCUAUCAACUCCAAGCAGUUAAUGUGCAAGUCCAUUUCCUCUUCUAACCAAGGACCCCCUGUAGAGGAUACUGCACAAUGAGAUCCCCAGCCCCAUAGGCUGGCGUCGGAUUCAAUCAUGAAAUCUGGUGUGGGACCAAAUAUGGCUUUCCCAUUCCAGGCUUGCAUGUGGAGGAGCCACCAACAAAGUUCCGUCCAAACUUUGGCCGUGAGGGGAAUCAGGUGAUCGUAAGACAGUCUGGAACGCAAAGAGCGUCCUUUCAAACAUUGCAUGUCUCUGUAGUGCAGCGGUCCCAGAUAUAUCACUUGUAUGGAGGCCGAUAAGUGUCCCAUAACUCGUGCUAGGAGGAAUAACGCAAAGUGAUCCAUGCAAAUUUCUUUCCUCGUGGCAGCAAUCUUCUUGAUCGGCAGUCUGAGCGUACAGAAGGUUGAAUCUAUUUCGAACCCCAGAAACUGGACCACUUGAGAGGCUAUCAGUGCGGACUUGUGUUGAUUCACCAUGAAGCCCAGGGAUUCGAGGAAGUCCACAACCAAUUUUGUCAGCGAUCUGAGUAGUGACGGUGUGUCGCAAAACAGUAGCAAAUCGUCCAAGUAGAUGAUAGAUCUUAUGCCUAUAGAUCAAAAAUGGGCCAAGAUUGGCUUCAGGAAUUUUGUGAAACACCACAGGGCCUAGCUGAUUCUGAAUGGGAGGCACGUGAAUUGACAUGUUUGACUGUGACAUCAGAAGCGUAGGAACUUGCAGCAGGAUGGAGCCACUGGUACCGAAAGGUAAGCGUCCUUGAGGCCCAAUCAAGUGAACCAGUCGUCCUUUAGGAGUAGAUUGUGAAGCAGAUGAGACGUCAGUCACUGAAGCAGAUCCCUUCCAUCUUGAAGUGAUGGUAUACCACAAAGUAGUUGAGUUGCCGCAGGUUGAUGAUGGGACGAAAGUCUCCUGUCUUCUUCUGAACCAAGAAUAUGUUGCUGAAGAAGCUGCCGUCUUCCUGCACAUGUUCUACUGCGCCUUUGGAGAAAAGGGUUCGGACUUCAUCGUUGAUCAGUGACUCAUUGUCUUCGGAUGUACGCACGGGUGGUGGGUGUUCUUGGUACGGUUGUGUAUGAAAUUUGAUCAUGUAUCCUCGUACCGUCUGUAGGAUCCAGGCAUCCGAUGAGAUAUCCUCCCAUUUCUGCAAAUAAAGGGAGAGUCUGUCUGCAGUCAAAGUAGAGACAUUGGUAUGAGGGUUUGGACUCACCUUUGGAGGGAAAAUGUCCUCGUCCUCUUCCCCGGUAACCUUUGUCUCUGUCUGCACCUCUGUAGUAGUUUUGUAUCCAUGAGGUUGAUGUCGGGUAGAACGAUGCCAAAGGAGGGUUUGGCUUGGAGCCCGAAUUCCAGAAUUGGCUGGUGGCACGGCUCCUCUGCCGACCAGCCUGCCUCAAAACACCCCGGCCUGUCUCAGCGAUGACUGCGCAUUAUUUAGACGUGUUUCUUCAGUUUGGUGAUAAAAGAGUCACCAAAUAGUUGUCCGUUUGCAUUGUUUCCUAACUCUUUGUGUGUCAUAUUGAUGAGCCUUGCAUCAAUUCGGCUGAGAGCCAUCUUGUGCCUUUCCGUACACAAUGCAGCGUUGACAUUGCCCAUCAUACAUAUGCAGCAUUGUGCCCAUACUCUGAUUGCGCUGGGAUAAAGUUGGGUUCCCUUUGAUAGGGCCAGAUCUGCGAAGUAGAGGAUUUUUGCGAUAGGGCCCAUCAGGUCCAGCAGUUUGUCCUAUGUCACUUCGAGGCCCUUCUCCACCCCUUUACAAGGGUCAUGGCCGGUUCUUGGCAUAAACACCACGACUGUCUGGUCAAACUCGGGUGUCAACGCUAUUUUGUCUGGCAGAAUUGGGCAUGGGCAUUCAGCUCUCAUGCGGGUGCGUAUCCUGCGCUCUAGGGGCUUGUGUAGAUAGUAGUGGACAAAUUUUGUGUGGUCCAGUGAGUCCAGUGUCUCCUGGGUGAAGGACUCUCCACCAUAUGAUACUUUCACAUAUUUAGAAUCAGAAGCAGGAAUGUCUAGCCAGUUACUCUCAUCUUCUGAUUCUGAGGCGUCUGCACACCAUUCAUCAAUGACAUCUAGAGCCGCUGAGGGGUAGGUCUCAUCAUCCUCUGAGGAUAGCACUGUUGGGGUUGCUAGAGAAUGAGUGGCAUGCUUACUGCAUUUAGCAGGAGUUAAUGGAAUAUAUUCGAAGCUUGGACUUGUCACCAGUGGGGUACCCCAGGGUUCUGUACUUGGACCCAUUCUCUUUAAUAUUUUUAUUAGUGAUAUUGCAGAAGGUCUUGAUGGUAAGGUAUGUCUUUUUGCAGAUGAUACUAAGAUAUGUAAUAGGGUUGAUGUUCCAGGAGGGAUAAGCCAAAUGGCAAAUGAUUUAGGUAAACUAGAAAAAUGGUCAGAAUUGUGGCAACUGACAUUUAAUGUGGAUAAGUGCAAGAUAAUGCAUCUUGGACGUAAAAACCCAAGGGCAGAGUACAGAAUAUUUGAUAGAGUCCUAACCUCAACAUAUGAGGAAAGGGAUUUAGGGGUGAUUAUUUCUGAUGACUUAAAGGUAGGCAGACAAUGUACUAGAGCAGCAGGAAAUGCUAGCAGAAUGUUUGCUUGUAUAGGGAGAGGUAUUAGCAGUAGAAAGAGGGAAGUGCUUAUGCCAUUGUACAGAACACUGGUGAGACCUCACGGGUGAGACCUCACUUGGAGUAUUGUACACAGUACUGGAGACCGUAUCUCCAGAAGGAUAUUGAUACCUUAGAGAGGGUUCAGAGAAGGGCUACUAAACUGGUUCAUGGAUUGCGGGAUAAAACUUACCAGGAAAGGUUAAAGGAUCUUAACAUGUAUAGCUUGGAGGAAAGACGAGACAGGGGGGAUAUGAUAGAAACAUUUAAAUAUAUAAAGGGAAUCAACACAGUAAAGGAGGAGACUAUAUUUAAAAGAAGAAAAACUACCACAACAAGAGGACAUAGUCUUAAAUUAGAGGACAAAGGUUUAAAAAUAAUAUCAGGAAGUAUUACUUUACUGAGAGGGUAGUGGAUGCAUGGAAUAGCCUUCCAGCUGAAGUGGUAGAAGUUAACACAGUAAAGGAGUUUAAGCAUGCGUGGGAUAGGCACAUAGGCGUGCGCAGCCUAUUGCAUUAGGGUAUGCACCCUACAGCACAAACACACGCCGCGUGUGUGUGUGUGUGUGUGUGUGUGUAUGUAUCUAUCUAUCUAUCUAUCUAUAUAUGUAUAUAUAUAGAUAGAUAGAUAGAUAGAUACAUACACUGCUGUGUGUGCUGUUAGUGUGAUGUGUGUGUGAGGGUGCUGUUAGUGUGAUGUGAGGGUGUUUGUGUGUGUGUGUGUUUGUGACUGUGCUGUUUGUGUGUGAGGGUGUUUGUGUGUGUAUGUUUGUCCUGUGAAGGUGCUGUUUGUGUGAGUGUCAUGUAUUUGUGAGGGUGCUGUUUGUGUGUGUGUGUGAGGGUGUUGUGUUUUUUUAAAGGUGCUCUGUGUGUUUGUGAGGGUGCGGUUAGUGUACUGUGUGUGUGUGAGCUGUAUGUGUGUAGGUGCUGUAUGUGUGUGUGCUGUAUGUUUGGAGGGAUUUGGCAGAUUAGUAAAUCCUUGCUGCCAUGUGCCAUCCCUGGUGGUCCAGUGGAGAGUGAACUCUAGCCUGCGGGGCUAGAGUUAACUCUCGCGAGAUCUGAGCGUUGCCGCAGCAACACUCAGAUAUCGCGAGAGGAACCUGGCGGAGCUUCUGUCUAGAGCUCCCUGGGUCCUCUCCUGCCUCCCUCCAUGCUGCUGUGGGCCGGUGAGGUAGAUCUUUGGUCUCCCCGCCGGCCCAUGGAGGCUUAGAGCAGAGCCGGCACUCAGAUAGCGCCGGCUCUGUGUGUGUGUGUGUGUGUGUGUAUAUAUAUAUGGGUACACACACACACACUCACAGACACAUUCAGACACACACACAUACAUACACUCACAGAUACACACACACUCACACAGACAUACACAUUCAAAGACACACACUCACAGACACACACACACUCACUGACACACUCACACAUACAUACAUACACUCACACACAUACAUACACUCACAGACACACAGACACACACACACUCACACAGACACACACAUACACUCACACACAGACACUCACACAUAAGAACAAAUUAUUACAUUUUAAUUUUAAAAAAAUGUCCACCCAGCCUCCUACCUGGAGUGCUGGCGUGGACUUGUCGCUGGGGUCCAGUGGGGCGGGCGCCUUUCUGCAGCUCAGCGCGCGGCGAGGGAGCUGUGUGCUGUCUGCUUUCUGCUUCCUCUCGCCGCGCGGGCUGUCUGCUGUAGCUGGGAGCCGGAAUAUGAUGUCAUUUUCCGGCUCCCGGCAUCAGCGCGCAGCGAGAGGGAGCAGACAGCAGACAGCUCCCUCGCCGCGCGCUGAGCUGCAGAAAGGUGGGGGGAUCCAUCACCUCUUGCCCCCCCAUGACAGGGGCAAGAGGUGAAACAGGGGGCGCUGAGUAACUGCAGGAACAGCGUUUCUGCUCAAAAAAAGUGCAGGAACGCUGUUCCUGCAGGACUCAAACCAUAGGCGUGCCACGGGGAUUAGGGUGUGCCCAGGCACACCCGGCACACCCCGUGCGCACGCCUAUGGAUAGGCAUAAGGCUAUCCUAACUAUUAGAUAAGUACAGGGACUAAUGAAAGUAUUUAGAAAAUUGGGCAGACUAGAUGGGCCGAAUGGUUCUUAUCUGCCGUCACAUUCUAUGUUUCUAUGUUUCUUCCCUGUCCCCUGAGCAUGUGGCAUGGGGAGGCUGACUCUUUGGCAUUUUGACAGGGAGUUGAGUUCCUUGGAAGGCGCCUCUCAGUUCAAAUUAUCUUCCACGUCAUGCGGUGUCGGCCCCAUAGCCUGUGUGGUUGGUGCAGGCGGAACUUGCAUUAGCAUUUUAAUUAUUGCUUUCUCCAUGGAUGCUACCACCACAGAAUAACUCAUUCCCUGAUAGUCUUGGCUUUGUGGAGCGGAAUCUGACAUGAUCACACUCAGUAUCGUCCUGUGGGAAAAGGACGUAUAUGUUAUUAUGCUUGCCUAAGCAAUGCCUGGUGGGUAGACCCCUAGCGCAGGCCAAUUGGGGGUAGCCUGGUAUCAGGUAUCCUAUUUGGUCCCCUCUAGAGACUAUGUAAUGCAGGCUCUUGUUUAAAUACCAGUCGUAUUGAGCGGUUGAUAGUAUAAGGGGAGUACCCUUGUAAUCGUGUGGAAGGGUCAGAGGCCUGAUCAGUCUCUAGUAAUAGGCCUUUGGCCCUGGAAUGACUGUUGGGUGCAUUUUGAAAGCAGGGACCACCCCUGCGUGCAGCUGUGUCAGGCAGUCUAUGCACCAAGCGUACAGUCACAGGUUACGAUAUCAUAUUUACAACCCAUACAGUAUUAAUUUAAUAUCCAUGUUCAUUUCACAUCCAUGCUCCAUAAAUAGACAUGUCACUGUUGUAUACAGUUAGAGAAAGAGCAAUGAGACCUGAAACUUGUAGUAUAUUCAGCUCCUUUCAGUAAACUCUCUAUCUGUCUCAGGGAUGAGGAGGCUCUAUGUGUUUCACCAAAGUAAGUCUGGGCUUCCUGCCGUCACCUGGUACAUGCAGGGAAAAAAAAAGGGCCGCCGUGAAGCUCGGGUCCUCGCGAGAAGAACUCCCGCGGGUCCAAAUGAGAGAGUGAGGAGAGGGAGAAAGCUGUCGCUCAGACACCUGACCCCCGGUUAGUGUGUAAGGAGAAGGGAAAGGUCCCCACAAGAGGGAGGUGCCGCAGCGCGAUAGCCUGCCACGGCUGUUAGUUAGUAAGAGGAGUAGAUAUAGGGAUGAAGGGAGAUGAAGUUUAGUAAGGGGAACAUAAACCCCAAAAGGGGGAAUAAAGACCUCUAGAAGUAGUGAGAAAACAGGUGACAGGCAAAGCACCAAAGUAUAAUAUAUACAUCAGCAAUAAUAAACAAUGUAAGAAAAUAUUAUCAGGAACAAGUACUCUGACCUGUGCCUCUACUUGGAGCAGCAAAGAAAGAGGAAGAAUUGGGGUCUGGUCUAUUUUAUAUAUAUAACAACAGGAAGGUGUGAAAUAAUGGCGCUCUAAAUAGUUAUCUCAGUAAUACUAUUUUAGCUGCUGAAAAACACUCUGUGGGAACUCCCAAAAAAAUCACACACAAAUAAGAAUUACCAGAAACACAUAUAACUUCAAGUAUGGUUAGUAGUUUUACCGACUUUCAGUCUGAGUGCAGCACUAUAUAUCAGUAUAGUCUCUACCUGUCCAGUGAAAUACAAGUGAAAAGAUCAACACACUUACCCCCUAUAAGAUGUAUUCUUAGGGGGUUUUACAUGUUAAAAAAAAAAUACAAAAAGCUACAUAGUAUAACUCUGUGAGGUAUAGAGGAAUGAGUGUUAUUAGAUAUAAAGAGAUACACUCACGUUUUUUAGAGCCUUUUAUGGUAUAGGCUCUAAACUUUAGCGUGUCCGUGUCUAUUAAGGUCGACAACCACAACCCCUGUUAUGGCUUUCUCUCAGUUGUUAUCCACGAUAUACAUAGUGGGGUAAGGCAGAAUAGAAAAAAAUCUAGGUGUAUCGCUUUUAAUUGUGAAUCUUAAGGUGUAGAUAUAACAGAAAUGACUGUUCACCUUAUUUAGAGCCUUUUAUGAACUGUCUCUUAAUUUCCUUGUUUUGGUGUCAAAUUACAGGGUGACACCUCCCUUACAGGAACCAGGUAUAUGAUGCAGAUGGUAAUCUUCAAGCAAAAUGUAUUGUUUAACAAUUAAAAUAACACACUAAGAAUAUAUAACAAAAAAUAAAAGAGAAAUAUAUAUAUGAAGCUUGCCAAGACGCGUUUCGCCCAAAUUGCUGGCUUCCUUAGUUAGCCUAUUUUAUAUAUAGGAUGUUACUUAUUUUUGAUUGGUUUAAACUUACUUGAUUGAUCUGUGCUGCUGGAGAUUUAUAGUAAAGCAAGUUAUGGUCGUGGCAUCAAAAGCCGUAAUGAGCAUAUUAGAAGUAAUUAUGUAAGGUCCCUAUAUGAGAUCUAUAAUAAUAUGAAAAAGUCGGUUGUGGUGUGCCGGAACCGACAAAUGCGGUGGGCCUGUAAUAAAAAGAGUAUACCAUACAGAAUUAUAAAGCCUACAAAUCAGUACAUUUCAUAUACAUGUUCCAGAAGUCUUGGCAUAUUAAACAACAGGUUGAUGUGUAUAUCUGGAGUUAACAGAGGCCUCCAUUGUCUCAAAGUCCUAUUACAAUGUACCAAAUAUUAGGUAUGAUUGUCAGCACUGAUGUGGAAGGAGUGACCUGCUUAAAUAUGUGAAUCAAGACCUCAUCUGACCAUGCAGUAAAACCUGAGAUAAAGUCUGAAUUUACUUGUUGUUAGAGUAUUGUCGUGUAAGGAGCAGAUCAGGGGAACCUUGAACAGAGGUUAGGUCGUUAUCCAGAAUUAUUACUGACAGAAUUUAAAAUAUCAUUAGUAGUGUUAAAAUAUUUAAGUAAAAGGUGGCAAAAGAAGUAAAAUCGACCACUGUACUCAAGAAUCUUGAUUACAACAUAAAAAUCUAGCCAUUAUCGGUUAAACUGUAGACCCUCAGCGGAAAGCCAGUAAUGGAGAAUAAGAUAAGUGAUCAGUAACAAAGUUGUCAAUUCCAGGUAUAUGGUCAUAUAUUGAUAAAGUAGUAAUUAGCCGCUGACCAAGCCAGUAUUUACGAAGUGCACAUGACAAGAUGUGCUCGAGGUACAUGUAGAUACGUGAGAAGUGCCAUAGGUGAGCCAAAAUAAUUAAACGACCCUAGAGUUAUGACAUAGGAACCAAGGGUAACUUAAUUGUAUUUUACCAACUUAACAGUGAGUACAAUAGUGUGAAAUAAUGAACCAGAGCGUGAGUGUAUAUGUAUAUGCCUAUAUUUGCGUACACCCCCCCACUAUAUACCUAUGUAUAUAUCUACUUAUACAUAUAUGUAUGGUGUAUAUCGUGGUUAUCUACAGUUUGCGAGUCAGGCAUAAACCUGAUCCGGUCAGUGGCGACACCAGCUAUUGAGAUGAAUGACCGUAUAGAAACCGAUAUGCCUUUGUAAGGGGCUUAAUACCGUAAAAUAAAGAAGGCAUACUGUAAUACUAUGUCUAGAUGAGAAGCUGAAUUGUACUAGUAGUGAAAAUCGCCCUGAAUGAACAUAGCCACUUCCAUGUACGAGGGGGGGAAGUGGCUCAACCUAAAUAUCUAUCAUAAGAAGAUAUAUCUCAUCUAUCUGCGUGGAAUGCAUGUAAUCCUAAUUUACUUAUGAUGUAGACAGAUAGUCAAUAUCCUGUUGGAUAUCUUAAACGUACCGAAACAUGCACUGAAUAUUGAGUUAUGUAACGUAUGCUUAAAUGCGUGUGGAGGACUCUGAGAGGGUCAGCAUAAGGAGACAGCCCCUUGUAAAAGUCGAACUUCGAGUGUAUGUACCAGACUUUAAGGAGAACAGAGUGAGGUCUUAAAUUUACACAUGAAUGAAAUGUAAUGUUGAAUAUCUGAAACCCACUUAGAUAAGGCAACCUAGAUAUAUAUAUGUAUAUAUAUAUACACUACUGUAUAUAGCCAGCUAACAGCCUCUACCUGACUGGUAUUGAAAAUAUAGACCUAUAUAUGUUACUGAUAACCAAAGCUACUGUGUGUACCUAAUAUAGUUCAUCACAUGAUGUUCUAAUCCAGUGUAAUUGGACAGAGGGAACUUACAAAUACCUAAUAGUACCAGCCACGUAACUUACACACAUUUAAUUUUACUGGCUUCACAUAUUAAUGCCAGAGUUAAUUAAAUCUGCUCAAUAUGAUUAUACAACAGAUAGGAUUCCAAUACUAGACACAGUUCUCAUACUAAGCUAUCGCCUCCCUACUAAAAGCCCAUUUAGCGGUACCCAUAUAUGAAAAAUAUGUAUAUAUGUGGUUUGAUCAUUUGGUUUAUAAAGCUGUGCUGGUACCUUAUGUACCAUUCAAAGGUCCUGCUAUGAUGGCAGAUAUAGUCCAAGAUCUAAUAGAAGUAGGACUAGCCAUGUCCCUUGUGUGACGUAUCAGACUUAGUAGGAGUGCAGUGCAGGGACAGGAAACUCCAUCUUCCUGUCGCAGAGAUAUGUUAAACAGCAUGAAGCAGUUAUGUGUACCCAUACAACAUACUGGCUUGCCAGCUAUUGUCAAGUGGCGAAACUUUUAAACAAGUUGGUGACAGGUGAGGCCCUGCUAGAUGUCAAGCAGCUUGAGAGGCUCUAUCUAUGCGUUGGCGCGUGGGGAUUACGUGGCCUCCAAACUUGUGGCGGGUGUCGGCCUCUCUGUGAUUUAUAAAGCAUAAGAUAGAAUGAGAAUGACAGGUAAGGCCCUCUCUAUGCCACCACGUGAGGCGACUAACUAUAAGUUGGGCCGAUGGGUGUAAUACCUUAUAGUGAUACAGUUCCACACAAUAGAUUAGUGUUCAAACUCAAGGAAAUCGUUCUAGAUGAAAAUGCUUGUUAUUGGGUAGAACAUUGGCUUAAAAACAGAGUACAAAGAGGUGUCAUUAAUGGUAAAUUUUCAAGCUGGACAGAGGUGGCAAGUGGUGUCCCUCAGGGGUCUGUUCUGGGAUCCCUUCUAUUUAACAUGUUUAUAAAUGAUCUUGAAGACAGCAUUGAAAGUCAUGUUUCAGUGUUUGCAGAUGACACAAAACUCUGUAAAAUAAUACAAUGUGAGCAAGAUAUUCCUUUGCUGCAGAGGGAUCUAGAUAGACUGGGGGACUGGGCACUCAAAUGGCAGAUGAAAUUUAAUGUUGAAAAAAGCUAAGUUAUGCACUUCGGCGUAAAGAAUACAGAAGCAAACUAUACCCUUAAUGGAAGUAAAUUAGGGAUAACACACGAAAAGGACUUGGAAUUGUUAUAGACAACAAACUAUGUAACAGUGUGCAAUGUCAAUCAGGAGUGGCCAAGGCCAGUAAGGUAUUGUCAUGCAUGAAAAAGGGCAUUCAUUCUCGGGAUGAGAAUAUCAUUUUGCCUCUUUAUAAAUCACUGGUAAGACCACAUAUUGAAUAUGCUGUGCAAUUUUGGGCACCUGUUCUAAAGAAGGAUAUUAUGGCACUAGAAAAAGUGCAGAAGAAAAGGUUAACAAAUUUAAAACCUAUUUAGUUUAGAAAAACGUCGCCUGAGAGGGGAUAUGAUAACAUUAUACAAAUAUAUUCGGGGCCAAUACAAACCAUUGUGUGGAAAUCUAUUCACAAACCGGACUUUACAUAGGACACGCAGGUCGCAUGCUUAGACUGGAAGAAAGAAGAUUUCGCCUAAGGCAAAGGAAAGUUUUUUUACUGUAAGAACAAUAAGGAUGUGGAAUUCUCUGCCUGAAGAAGUGGUUUUAUCAGAGUCCAUACAGAUGUUCAAACGGCUACUAGAUGCAUACUUGCAAGAACAGAAUAUUCAAGGAUAAAAUCUUUCAAUGUAGGGUAAUAACUGCUUGAUCCAAGGAUAAAUCUGACUGCCAUUCUGGGGUCAAGAAGGAAUUUUUUUCCUAGCUUGUUGCAAAAUUGUGCUUCAAACUGGGUUUUUUGCCUUCUUUUGGAUCAACAGCAAAAAUCAAAUGUGAGGAAGGCUGAACUUGAUGGACGCAAGUCUCUUUUCAGCUAUGUUACUAUGUAACCUCCGAGUAUGAGGAUGGUUGUUGGCCUCGCGGGACCACUAACGUAAGACCGAGUCCUGAGAAAGUAUAAGCUAUCGGGCUCCUGGUGUCCUGCCAGCCAGUAAUGAAACUAACUAAGGGAGGCAGGGUAAGAUAUCGAAUGAGUAUGUGUAAUUUGACGUAUCUGAGAACGAGUAAUCAGAAAUGCGGUAUAACUCAGAAGGUGGAUUGGCGCAGACCUACAUUGGGAACGAAAUAUAGUAGGAAUUGUGUUAUGGCAUGUAAAAGUAGAUAUUCAAUUCUGCCUAACAGUAUAUGUUGUGAAGUAAUGGUCAGCCAUUACAUAGGAGGUUGUGCAGUAAAUCAUGGAUACCUAGAAUCGAAUGAUACAAUGCUGUAACGUAAAUAAGUGAGAUGUAAGGCCAGUUUGUGGAUUCAUAGAUAAAGGGUUAUAUAUACACUACACAAAAACGUAUAGCUGGAAGAAUUCCCUGGUGUACCUCACAGACACCCGAGAACAAUGUACAAUAGUAAGAAAGUGGAAAAACACCCAGAAUACGUGUAAAUUAAUAUAUAAAAUAUGCAACAACCUGAUGGAAAAUGUAAUCCAUAUGAAUUCUGUAUAAAAAAAUCAGAGAUCCAACAUAGCGUAAUACAGUAAAAAAACUUAGCAAUAUAUAGAUAUAGGUGAUUGUAGAUACACUCACAAACACACGUGGAAUAUGGCUUCUCGCCCACUCGGGAGCAAAUAUAUGAUGGUGAUAAGACUGGAAAAUCCUCUCAAUGGAACAUAUGGAAAUAAAGGAAAUCACAGAUAGUGAAGUAUGUUGUAAAAAUACAAAAUCACAAUUUAUUGGUCACACUUACAUGUGUGUAUAGCACAAAGAGCAUGUCUCUCAGUAACCUUGAAACUCCAUGCAGUAUGGUCCUCAAUCCAAAAUACAUAUGUAUGGACUUUAUUUCCAUAUUGUUAUUUUAUAUUGUUUUUAAUCUGUAUAUAUCUGUAUUUUUGGCUGCUCUUUGAUAACCCCUCCUGCCACUUCCUAUUUUGGAUUGAGGACCAUACCGGUUUUGAAUUGACAGGUCUAAUGAGUAACAGAAUACUUCAACGUAAUGACAGCCAGAAGCACUAACAACUGAAUUAUGCAAAUGAUCCCUAUGCCGAUAAAACUUAAAAACAUGAGCUAAGUACAUAUAAUAAAGCAGGAAUACAUACAUACUUAAAAACCCUAUCACUCCAUACCACCAUGAUACCCAUAAACCAUUUAAAUAUUAUAUCAAUUAAAACCUAUUUAGCGAGCAUAUACUUUAACCGAUUGAUACAUCCAUUGACAGACAUGAGAAUUGAGUGGUUCGUAUAGUAUGUCCAGUUCAUGUCUGCUAAUUAGUACCUAAAGUACUAGUGUUAGUGAGGUAGUGCAGCUGACUUUGACCGAAUUGAGAAGGAUAAUUUGAAACGCGGGCGUUUCUAUGUAAAUCGUAUGUGAAUUGCAGAGUCUCAUUGCUGUUCAUGUGUUUGGGCGGCUUUCGUUUAAAUUUAUGCAUUAGUUCAUAAGAAUUAGGUAAAGUAUUUUGUGGUGUUAGAUAAUGGAACAAGUGAAAUGUGCGUAUGACAAUUUAAAUGCCGAACGAAGCGCAUGAGUCCCGAAAGGCUAGGUUACUCACGAUUGUCAGUCUCCCACUGGCGGGCUCUGAGGGGUCCAUUCGCAGGACGAACAACGAUAUUUACAGCAGUCAGUUUGUUUGAACCAAAUCGUUUGUGAGAACCAAAACGUUCGAGAAAAACAUGGGAACUUCUCCCGAGGUUGGUUCUUUACCGCCUUGACCAGGAUGUGGACCACCAAGACUACGGCUCCCUUCGAAAAUACAGCUACAGGUAGGGGAGGACCAGGUAAUCGUUCCCCUGUGUAGAAGGUAAGUAUAAUGGUGAUUUGCAGCGACCGGACGUCACAUCAUGCAAAUCGCCAGAAUGAACAAUAAUGGGGAGCGGUCUGGCAUCCAUAAGAAGGGAAAUCAAGCCCCUCCCAUGACUUCAGGUCCAGCAUUCCAUUUAUGCAAAUAUGAAGCCUCCUAUCAUGUGGUAAAAUUCAAGGUGAAUUCAAAGUGAAUGUCAAACUAAAAGACAGAGGAACUGAAAUGAUGAGUAUGAGAAGAACUAUUUUAUAACAUUAACUUCCAAAUCAAAUAUUUUCCCAUGCAACUAAUCAAAUAUGUAGGAAAAACACAAUAUGUGUGUACACAAACCAAAAAAUGCAAUUAGUACAAAAUAAGAUAUUAGCAGACAGAAACUUCCCUGUUCAAGAUGAAGCUUCCAAAGGUACCCCCAAAGACUUUCUCCUGUCUUCCACAAAAUAUAUGCAAAAAUAGGGGAUGAUCUGCUAAGCCAAUAACAAAUAGGAAAACAUAUCAUAUAAUUGUGAAUAUGAAUAAACCACAAGUGUUGUGUUCUCAAAUGGCCACUCACAUAUUCACUGAAAUCCAUGGUGAUUUGAAUACAGAGUGAAGCUUGAAUCCUUGGAAGGAAUUUAUACUAAAGGCACUUCAACUUCAGUGAAUACGUGAGCGACCAUUUGAGAACACAACACUUGUGGUUGAUUCAUAUACACAGUUAUACGCUAUGUUUUCCUGUUUGUUAUUGGCUUAGCAGAUCAUCCCCUAUUUUUUGUAUAUACAACUAAUCAAAUAUGUUGGCAAAUUGUGAAAAAUUACCUUGGUUGUAUCCUAUGAGGGUAAAAGCAUAUGCUUUAGGGAAACAUCUGUAUUUUAUGACAUCCAACUAUUUUCAUACAAUGUACAUAUGGGAAAGGACAAACAAAAAAGUUGGUGUAAGAGCAAAUACAACAAGCAAGGGUUACCAUUUUGACUAGAGAAAGCUCCCUUUCAAUAUGAAGUUGCAAUUAAAAAUAUAAUAGAUGGAUUGUUCUUAGCGUCACUUUCACUUGACAGACUCUUUCUUUAUUUUUAUUAUAGCUCUUCCUCAGUUUGCCAACCUUUUCCCCUGGAAAGGACAUGUUGAUGUAAUGCCUGGUGGUACAAUACAUGUAGUUGGAGAUCUGUGAUGUUCACCUGGAGCAUGCAUGCAUGAGAGAUCUAUGAUACAGAGUUAAGAUAUAGUGUCAUUACUUUGCAGAACUGUUAUUGUAUCAUUCACUUGCACUUCAGCCUCACUGGUGGAACAAAAGAGUGUUAAUGCACCUCCAACCUUUUGAUUACCAGUGAAUAUAUAUAUAAAUCCCUUGUGAUUAGUGCACUGCUGCUUUCAAACUAAACUAGUUUUAUUUUUGUGUCCCAGGCUCCCAGCUUGUGCAAGGGCUGAAAUAGGGAUCCUGCUUGGCAUCGUCUAAAGAAAUACAAGAAUGCAGAUUUAAUAAAAGUAAUGCACCACAAUUGUGGGGAACCCCUGUUCUGUAUAUGGACUUGUCUUUGUGUUACUAUGCCUUGACCUCUUGAAUAACAAAUAGUAAAUCACAAAAGGGAAGAGCCACAGGCUGCACAGCAUAGGGUGAACCAGAUAGUUCUAUUGUGGAAUACAGGUCAAAACAAGGAUUUAGCGUUCAAGUAUAUGCAAUAAAAGGACCACUAUAGGCACCUAGACAACUUCAGCUCAAUGAAGUGGUCUGGGUGCCAGGUCCCCCUAGUUUUAACCCUGCAGCUGAAAACAUAGCAGUUUCAGAGAAACUGCUAUGUUUAUACUGCAGGGUUAGUCCAGCCUCUAGUGGUUGUCUCCCUGACAACCACUAGAGGCGCUUCCGCGAUUUACACAGAGUAAAUCACACCUAUUUGACGUUGGACGUCCUCACGGACCUCCAGUGUCAAAAAAGAUCCCCAUAGGAAAGCAUUGGGUAAUGCUUUCCUAUGGGUGGAUUUGAAUGCGCGUGCGCCUCUGGCCGGGCAUGCACAUUCAGCUCCACUCGGGAGCUGAAGUUGAUGAAGGAGCCCGGCGCUGGAUUAAGGUAAGCAAAUAAAUGGUUAAUUAACCAUUUACCUGCCACAGAAGGGGCCCUAGUCACUGUUCAGGUGACUAGGGCUCUAUAGCGUUAGGAAUACAUAUUUGAAUUCCUAACGCUAUAGUGUUCCUUUAAGGCCUCACAGCCAAAACAUUGCUUCCUUGUUUUGUCCUGUAUUCCAUAAUAAAACUAUCUGGUUCACCCUACACUGUGCAGCCUUUGGGCCUUCACUUGUGGAUAAUAUUUGGAGGUUAGCGGACCUCUACCAUAGAACUGUGGUGCUACUGAUACUGGUGUGCAACACUCUACUACUUGUUUAAAUAGUGAAUGACAUUUUAUGUCUCCAUUCUGAACACCACUUCAAACCUAGUGUUCACUCCUGUAUGCAUUUAUACUUCGCCGAUAGUUUGGCUCCAAUCAGUAGCUGGAAGUAUUAUCUUCAACCACUGACAAUGAAUUUGGCUAGCUAAAAUGAAAGAAAGCAAGAUUAAAAAAAAUAAAACACAAUGCAAAGCAGGACAUUUUUAGAAGAAUAAAGAAAACGCAUCUUUAAUGCUGAUUAGGAUUUGCAAAAUUGUGAUGCUGUUUCUUACUUAAAGUGCGCAACACUCUUCAGUGAACAUCUAAACAGUACACUCCAUGGAAAGAAAAUAAACAUUCAUAUAGACAUUAAUAACAUAGCACAGCAAGGACAAUUGUAUCAAUGAAGAGAACUAGACCUUAUUGUAAAUGAAGUGUUUCUGUCCUUUUAGAUCAUUAUGUGCUCAUCACUUUGCUAUACAUGUCUGUUUCUAUUAUCUGAACAGCUGUCUCAUACUCGAUAACUGCUUCGCACUUGUAUAAAUUUCAGUGUGUUGUAUUAGAGCACAUCUCAAAUGACUUUUUUACAUGACCAAUUGUCUUUUAAUGCUGCAACAUAAUGAUAGGCUGGAAAUAACUAAAUAGAAUGUUUGGGGAAUUUAAAAAAAGAAUCAGGGCUUGCAAUCAUUUUAUUUUCUUUCAUUCAACUCACGUUCAUGUUGUACUCAUAUAAUACAAAAACGUAGAAUGCAGUAAGCAACAUCCAGUCAUAUUAUUGUGAUAAUAGCUACCAGAAAAAAAAAAAAAACAAUAGCAAUCUUGCAAAAUGUUUCCAGAAUCUUAAUGAACAAGGGAAUUAUUUCAUAGAGAGUGAAUUGUGCGGUUUAGAAAAACAAACUGCAAACUUGAAGUCAAAACGUUUAAAUUGAGAAAUAGUUACAACCUAUUUUGGUCUAAAAUUUCAUAAUAAAAAAUAUCAACUGUUUCAAAAAAAAAAAAUUGAAGUGAAAAGAAUGUAAAACGGAUCAAUCGAUGAGAAUGAUUAAGAAAAUGUUAUAUUGUUGUAAGAUGCAGGCUGAUUAACUGAUUUACUUAUCUACCAACAUACAUCCAGGGCUGGAAUUCCCUGGAGACAGACUGGGCACCUGCCUACAGACACAUGCCCGCUUGAGGAUGCCACCCUGCCUAUUACAAGUCCCCUCCUCACCUCUUGCAUGGUGCCUGCUGCUGUCUAACUGGAUCAAAGGCUGCUGGACUUAGGAAUCACAAUAUUCAGUCUGAUCUCACAAAUAUUAUUAGGUUUUGUCAUUAAUUUGAUGUUUUCCAUUGAU
rnacentral:lncRNA from 1 species